UGGCGGACGGGUGAGUAACGCGUGGGAACCUGCCCCGAGGUACGGAAUAACUCAUGGAAACGUGAGCUAAUACCGUAUGUGACCUGAGGGUGAAAGAUUUAUCGCCUUGGGAGGGGCCCGCGUCGGAUUAGGUAGUUGGUGGGGUAAUGGCCUACCAAGCCUGCGAUCCGUAGCUGGUCUGAGAGGAUGAUCAGCCACACUGGAACUUAGACACGGUCCAGACUCCUACGGGAGGCAGCAGUGGGGAAUAUUGGACAAUGGGGGCAACCCUGAUCCAGCAAUGCCGCGUGCGUGAUGAAGGCCUUAGGGUUGUAAAGCGCUUUCGGCGGGGAAGAUGAUGACGGUACCCGCAGAAGAAGCCCCGGCUAACUCCGUGCCAGCAGCCGCGGUAAUACGGAGGGGGCUAGCGUUGUUCGGAAUUACUGGGCGUAAAGGGCGCGUAGGCGGCGAUUUAAGUUAGGCGUGAAAGCCCCGGGCUUAACCUGGGAACUGCGCUUGAUACUGGAUUGCUUGAGGACGGAAGAGGGUAGUGGAAUUCCCAGUGUAGAGGUGAAAUUCGUAGAUAUUGGGAAGAACACCAGUGGCGAAGGCGACUACCUGGUCCGUUUCUGACGCUGAGGCGCGAAAGCGUGGGGAGCAAACAGGAUUAGAUACCCUGGUAGUCCACGCCGUAAACGAUGAGUGCUAGACGUU
rnacentral:rRNA from 1 species